AUUGAACGCUGGCGGCAGGCCUAACACAUGCAAGUCGAGCGGAUGAAGGGAGCUUGCUCCUGGAUUCAGCGGCGGACGGGUGAGUAAUGCCUAGGAAUCUGCCUGGUAGUUGUUGAUAACGUCCGGAAACGGGCGCUAAUACCGCAUACGUCCUGAGGGAGAAAGUGGGGGAGCUUCGGACCUCACGCUAUCAGAUGAGCCUAGGUCGGAUUAGCUAGUUGGUGGGAUAAAGGCCUACCAAGGCGACGAUCCGUAACUGGUCUGAGAGAAUGAUCAGUCACACUGGAAAUUAGACACGGUCCAGACCCCUACUGGAGGCGCCAUGGGGGAAUAGUGGACAAUGAGCUCAAGCCUGAUCCAGCCAUACCGCGGGGGGAAAGAAAGCCUUCUGGUUGUAAAGCCCGUUUAUUUUAAAAGAAAAACAGCAGGUUAAUACCCCGCUGUUCUGACCGUACCCAAAAAAUAAGCACCGGCUAACUUCGUG
rnacentral:rRNA from 1 species